ensembl:lncRNA
GGCUGAGCAAACAGCAGGCUUCACCCCCCAGCCCAGGAACCCGGAGCCUCUCAGGCCCUGUGUCUAGGCAAUGAGCGCCUUCCUACUCCGGACCCCCAGCCCCGGCCACGACCCGCACCCAGCCGAGCCGCCUGGCUUCCUCCAGCCCAGCCUCCUGCCCUGAGAAAUGGAAGCCAAGGACACAGCUGUUCCAGGCACCCUUCCCAAAGCGACUCCGGUCGGUCAGCCGACUGAGAAGGUCCCACGUGCCAGGUUGGAUGGGGAGGGGCUGCAGAGAUGCACGUGGUGGCCCAUGUCCUGGUCGGAGGUGACUCUCACACUCUCUUAAGGGAGAGGCUUAGGAAUUUGGGGGUGUUAUUCCCGUCGAGUCUGUAGUGGACACCAAUGGUUUUCAACGUAUUUAUUUUUUCUUUUUCUGCCUCAGGUUACCUGAUGGGUAGGAUCCUCUCCCAGCGUAAUAGGGCGUCAAAAGGGCAAGACUGUGGGGCGUGGGGGUGGGGAGAUGAUCAGAAUCUCUGAGGGGGCAACUGGAGUUUGAUAAACGUCCCUCCCCAUGCCCCCAAGCCUGGGAAUCUGGUAGAGCUUCCUACGGGACAGGGCAUGGCUUCCACCAGGAGGAGCCACUGAAGGAUUUUGAGCAGGGGAGGAACAGAGAACAAUCUAUAAUGUAGCACCUCUCCCGCCCCGAAGUGGGAGGGUUGCUGGGGGACACUGAGGGAGGCGUCAAGGACCCCCUGCAGCCCCGGGGGGCAGUGAGGAGAGGGAAGGAAGCAGGUCAACAGAACCGAGUUCCGAUCCUGCCUCAGUUCCUCCUCCCUCCUCUGUAGGAAUCAGACUGCCGCCCUUCCUCUCACAGAUGUAAGCUUACCAACAUCGGUACGAGGCCGCCUUCGGGGUCAGUCAGCUGCCAUGUCACGAGGACACUCCAGCAGCCCCAGGGAGAAGCCCACGGAGCAAGGAACUGAGGCCUCCUGCCAACAGCCAGCACCAAUUUUUCAUUCGUGUGAGUGAGCCAGCAUGGAUGCAGAUGCUCCAGCCUCCGUCAAGCCUUCAGAUGAGCCUGCUGCUCAGCAUCAGUAUCUCUCGAGUGCUCGUCCAGCACUGGACAUCUGGACAUCUCCACCUGGCCCUUACCCUCGCCAGCUCUGCCCUCCUUUACCCCAAGCCUUCUGGAUUGCAGCAAGAUUUCUGUUCAGGUGUCACCUCCUCCAAGAAGUCCUCUUGAACACUCCAGAGCUAAUCACUCCGUCCUCGAUGCUGUUGCUGAACCUUCCACGCACCCGUUUGUAGAGUGGUUAUAAACAUGGUCCUGAAUCAAAAAUGGGCUCCCAGACCUGCCACUCACCACCGGUAGGAUCUUGGCAAAGCGGCACCUCACUGUCCACAUCUGUAAAAUGCAGACGAUUCCUACCUCAGCACUAGAGGGAGGGUCAAAUGAGACCGAGUCUGUGGACGCUGUGAAUUCCAUCCUGACUCGGGAUCCAUCUCAUAGACGGGCCCCUGGAGACCAGGCUGUAUGGGGAGCGAGGCCGGCACUGAGCAGAGGGGCUUGGGGAGGGAACUGACAUACCUGGAGCACCUGCCUGUGCCAGGCGCUGGGCUAGACUCUGUAUCUCUAUGACUUAACCUAAUCUUUGCAACAAGAGCUGAGCAUCCUCAGCCACCUUUUCACACAUUUAGAAAGUGAAGCUCAGGAAGUUCAUGGCUUGCCUAGUGUCACACCGGGGAUGGAGGCGGGAUCUGAACCCCUUGUCUGUUGAACUCCAAAGGCUUCCAGCUCUGGCACUGAGUCUGUGCAGACCCAGCUGGGAGGUCCUGGGCCCAGGACAGUUCUCCAGUCCUCAGGAGGGCAGCAAAGUGAGGGUUAGUCAGCCUGGCCCAUGGUGGACUAUCCCCUCCUUUGUAUUGGGUGAUAGACUUCUAGUAAUACAACCCAAGAAGACCAUGGCUUUGCGGUUUCCUCUUCCCAGUUGUGGAAUCAGUUCAAUCCUGCUUACCUCCAGGUCAAAACAGGACACCUUCCCCCACCCUGAGCCCACCCUGCACAUCAUACCUUGAAAUUAACUUGCAAUUGCUGUGAGCUCUGAUUCACCCCCAACCUCCAACUGGCGCCAACAUAAGGAUUGCAUGAGCCAACAGCUCAUGGCUCAUGGUGCUGGAUGAAGGGUGUGGAGCGGGGUGAGGGUGCUGUUCCCUUUCUGGGGGGUAAUUUCCUUUUGUUGCUCAGCUCAGCUCAGCAGCCACCCGCCUCCACCCUCCCUGGCUAAUUAGUCGCCUGAUUUCCAUCAGCCUGAUUAGGUCCAUUUGAGCCACCACCCCACCCUGAGCAGCAGGAAGUUGACUCCAGUUAAGAGAGGAAGCGGCUGACUUAGGGAAGUGGAGGGGGU